rnacentral:rRNA from 1 species
GAUGAACGCUGGCGGCGUGCCUAAUACAUGCAAGUCGAGCGAACAGAUGAGGAGCUUGCUCCUCUGACGUUAGCGGCGGACGGGUGAGUAACACGUGGAUAACCUACCUAUAAGACUGGGAUAACUUCGGGAAACCGGAGCUAAUACCGGAUAAUAUAUUGAACCGCAUGGUUCAAUAGUGAAAGACGGUUUUGCUGUCACUUAUAGAUGGAUCCGCGCCGCAUUAGCUAGUUGGUAAGGUAACGGCUUACCAAGGCAACGAUGCGUAGCCGACCUGAGAGGGUGAGCGGCCACACUGGAACUGAGACACGGUCCAGACUCCUACGGGAGGCAGCAGUAGGGAAUCUUCCGCAAUGGGAGAAAGCCUGACGGAGCAACGCCGCGUGAGUGAGGAAGGUCUUCGGAUCGUAAAACUCUGUUAUUAGGGAAGAACAAAUGUGUAAGUAACUAUGCACGUCUGGACGGUACCGAAGCAGAAAGCCAGGCUAACUACGUG